rnacentral:rRNA from 1 species
UGGGAGACGCCUGGGAAUACCAGGUGCUGAAAGCGUUUUC